AAAAUGAAUGUCGUCAAAGGAGUGAUAUUAUCAUAGAAACUUAAGGAAUAUCAGGUCUAGGUGACAACUAUAGGUAAGAUACAAAUUCAGAUUUAUGGCUAGAACGGCUUAAAUUGUGUUAUUUUUAUUUAUUAGAUUAGAUGAUACCGAUUUAAAAUAAAUCACUAAUGUUGAUUUAAUAAUGCGAACAUAUAUUGAAAUAUAGUGUGGAAUCGCAUUGCCAUAUUAUUCCGAAUGUAUACAAAAAAGUAAAAUCACAAAGAUACUGAACUCCGAGGAAAAUUUCAACGGAAAGACCCUAAUCACAUGGCAAAAUUAAUUGACAAAACACAUCAAACGAUGGGACAACAACUAUCAUAAUCCUGACUUGGUAUAGGGAAAUUUCAAUAAAUGAAAUGAAAUUUAGUUUGUGGUGAUUAUGUACUUUCUGGAAAGGAUGAACGCCAUAUAUACGCAAAUAUUACCCCCAAAUUCAUUAGAAGAUAUAAGAUUUAGACAUAACGGCCAUGUCAUAUUUAGAUGUGCAGAUGUUUGAAGACGAAUGAUUAUUUUGUCAAAUAGUUUCAAAUUGGGAGGUGUUUUCGAAAAUGAUUAAGACUGACGAACGUCUGGCAAUGAAUGACAUAUCUGGGAAAAUCUCAAAUCGACCCCGCUGCAUGUCAAUCACAUAUACCAAAGACAGCUUUUUUUUAAAGAAGUAAGUAUUUAUAUUGUAUUUCGUGAUAAUGACACUAACUGUUAUAUCAACUGUUCUGUUUAUAUGACUUUCUUACUGUAGAAAUGUUUUGAAUUAAUGCAGAUGUUUGUACAAUGUUAACAGUUUAUUUACGGUAUCGAAACACCUUUAAUAAGUACGAUUAUUUUUUAUAAGAAAGUAGAAAAAUAAGGCGUGAACACUGACAUGAGAUGAUUGCAUGAAGAAUACUUACAAAAGAAGGAGUUUAUUAUUAUUUAAAUUAAUCUUGGAUGCGUGUCUAUUGUUUUUGGGUUAAUUAGUAUGCCUGCACUUUAACGUAUACUAUUACUUUAAAUGCUAUGUUUUAUCAAACUAUUAUACACUGAAAGGAGUCAAAUGUUUGUUUGGUAAAGUCGGUCAGUAAAACUAUUGAAGUGAUAAUAUGAUAAUAUCAUUCAUUUUUAACACCUAUAAACGUGUAAAUUCUUCUUAAAUAUUUCCUGUUUACAACUACAUUGGUCGUCAACUGAACAGGCUUAGGGAUCCUGUUUGAUCAACAAUUAGUUUCCAACAUAUUUCCAAAUUUGGAAACCAUCUAACUCUAUACAUGAAAAUCAACCUAAUUAGUAAUCAAUAGGUUACACUAAGCGUUUGUAUUGUACAAACCACACAUAAUAGAUUUAAAUUAUUAUAACAGUGUUUAAUAUUUGUACAUGUCAAAAUAUGUUAUUAUUUUGUAGAAGAAAUCACUUAAACAAUUUUUAUUUAGAAAAAGAUAAGAACGUGUACGAAUAAUCAUUCUACCUGCGCUAUUUGAUGUUUAAAACAAUUCAGUGCAUUGAUCUAGUAGUGAAAUUUAACUACUCAUGUAAGUCUUAAAGACUCCAAACAUUUUGACAGGGGUGAUAAUGGUGGCACGAUAGUAUUUUCUGGUUUAUUGGCAUAAUGGUAGCUUUUAGAAUGUUCAUCUCUUUCUAACACUGCUCAAAAUUCUUCAUAUACAGUUAACUGCAGUACUUUCGAUAUCAUAUAUUAUGACCGUUUACAGUUUGGGCUACUUUUAGAAACCUAAGGAUUGUUUUACUUUGUGUUGAGUGUUCUUGUGUUUGUUAGCUUCGAGCAUAAUGAAAGAGACACUUAUUGUAGAAAUAGGUAUCUUGUAAAGACAGAUUGGUAACUUUAGUGUUUAGUUUAGUUUUUUUUGUUUUUUUGAACACGAUUGAAUUUUCAUGACCACUUUUGAUUUUGAAUAUCAUUUUGGUAUAUUUCACCGCUCUUUCUUGCACCUUCUUACUGAUUUGACGUAAGAGAUCAUCGAUAGGUUUGACUGUUUGUGAUGCUUAGUAUUUGUACUGUUUUGUAUACUUUCCGCCUUUUCUUCAUAUUUCCUUUCCACCAUGAUAUGACUUUUAGGAGUUUUGAAUGUUCGAUGGAUAUUUUUCGCCUCUACUUUAAAUGAAACUCAACUCAUCAUAGAUACCUAACAUAACAUCGGGUACGCAUGGCGCUCGUUUCGUCUCCAUGAGACUAAUCAGUGGCGCAAGAUUAAAAAAGGCAUAGUCGAGACAGUGUUUUUAGAUAUUUAUCUGCUGAUUCAAGAAUGUUAUUAGUAAAAUAGUCAAUUUCAAUAAAUUGAGAGAAGAAAAAACUCCGUGCUGCAUGUUAAACCCAAGGGAAAAACAUCUCCUUUAAGAGGAAUACCUAAGAGCAACAGAAAAACUGAAGUGCAACAAUUUUUUAUAACAAAUGCCAUAUUUCUGACUUGGUACAGUACAUUUGAAAACAAAAAUGGUGGGUUGAACCUGGGUUAAUGGCUAACCAAAUCUGCCGCUUAUAUGGCAAUGUUAAAAAAUAUCGUUAAAAUUACAACAUUAUGUGACAGAAAUACAGCACAAACAAACGCAAGAAUACACAUCACAAAGAAACGCACAAAUACGUAAUAUAAUGGUCGUUAUCACAUGAAAACCACAAAAUAACAACGAAUAUCUUCAAUUGACGACAGACAACACAGGACAUCACAAACAGUGAAGUAUUUUAGUAAGGAAUAUUUAAUCUGGAAAUCUAUACAAUAAAUGUAAAAGGUAUUUUCACGAUACUGGUUCAAACAAUUAUAAUGGUAUAGAAUAAACUGAUAAGUGUUUUUUAUCAAUACAUCUUAGAUCUUUUUAAAGCGAUAGUUUGUGGUUAAAUUUCAAAAAAUGUCAAGCGGUCUUGUGUCAUUUAACAUUUCCAAAAACAUUCUUUAUUUUUCAUCAUUUCUUUAUGUUUUAUACUUUUCAUACAAUAAUACAAAAGUGAUUCAAAUUUCGAUAUGGUUGCUUUUGAUUUUUUUUUACAUAUGAUACGAUCGAAUGCAUAAUACGCAUAAAUAUGGACCACUUGAAUAUAAGUAGGUAUUUAAUAAACAAAGAUGUUUGAACUUCAUGACGCAAGCGGGACGGGAUGAAUGCAUUAUUAAAACAUCGCGCGUUAUCAAAAUUGCCUAUUUCAUAUUAAUGAUUUAUCGUGUUUUCAUUGCAAAUUGGAACCUAACUCUUAUAAUCUAUGAAUCCAAAAAUAAGGAAGAAAAUACAAUCGUGUAAUAUAGCUUCAAUUUUACAAAUGCUUUAUCUUACAUAUCUGUCGCUGUUAUUAUCAUGUUACAAAAGAUGGUAUAACUAUCAAGUUUUGGUUCUUUAUCUUUUGUAUGAGUUAAAUACCCAACAUACAUUACGCUUAAACAUCGAGAUAGUAUUGUCACAAUAAAGUAUUCCGCAAUGAAGUUAAUAUUUUGAAUAAAGAUGUGGCAUAAAUCUGAAUUCUGUGAUUAAUAGUUGAUAGAAAGUCAUCAUUUGAACUAAUUUACCUGGCUUAUGUUAAUACUAGUACUAUUGUUUUAGGUACAAAAGUAUGUCAUCAGAUAUUCUUUGCGGACCCUGUGGUCGUACCGACAAACAUGGAAAUGCACAAGAAUGGUGCUACAAUUGCAUGGAAGGUUUUUGUCAUGACUGCGAGCAGGUUCACAAAUACCGGAAUGUCACUCGAGAUCACAAAUUAAUACCAAUUGACGACUUUCAUGAAAUAGAAAAUGAUCGUGUCAAUAUAAAAUGUGAUAAACAUGAAAAAGUGUUUUACCACCUUUAUUGUAAAACACACGACGUGGCUUUCUGU
rnacentral:lncRNA from 1 species